CCCUCCUGUCAGGGACACACACACACACACACACACACACACACACACACACACACACACACACACACACACACACACACACACACACACACACACACACACACACACAAAUUUUGGCACUAAUACCGCCACCGCAUUUCUUACAAACGGCAAAACUCUGCAGCGGUUGGCGUACAGCGAGACAUUCAAAUCGACAUGUUUGUGUUGGCUAUCCCAAAAGAGGGAGCUAUAAAAAGAGCCCAUCACAGAAUGACACGUAAAUAAACUCACAGUAAAGCC